UUGGAAGAAGAACGGGUGUCAAGAGUAAUUGUUGACAUCGGGACCGGUAUCCAAACCAGAAAGCCACGGCUAAACUACGUGCCAGCAGCCGCGGUAAUACGUAGGUGGCAAGCGUUGUCCGGGAUUUAUUGGGCGUAAAGCGAGCGCAGGCGGUUUUUUAGGUCUGAUGUGAAAGCCUUCGGCUUAACCGGAGAAGUGCAUCGGAAACCGGGAGACUUGAGUGCAGAAGAGGACAGUGGAACUCCAUGUGUAGCGGUGAAAUGCGUAGAUAUAUGGAAGAACACCAGUGGCGAAGGCGGCUGUCUGGUCUGCAACUGACGCUGAGGCUCGAAAGCAUGGGUAGCGAACAGGAUUAGAUACCCUGGUAGUCCAUGCCGUAAACGAUGAGUGCUAAGUGUUGGAGGGUUUCCGCCCUUCAGUGCUGCAGCUAACGCAUUAAGCACUCCGCCUGGGGAGUACGACCGCAAGGUUGAAACUCAAAGGAAUUGACGGGGGCCCGCACAAGCGGUGGAGCAUGUGGUUUAAUUCGAUGCUACGCGAAGAACCUUACCAGGUCUUGACAUCUUCUGCUAACCUAAGAGAUUAGGCGUUCCCUUCGGGGACGGAAUGACAGGUGGUGCAUGGUUGUCGUCAGCUCGUGUCGUGAGAUGUUGGGUUAAGUCCCGCAACGAGCGCAACCCUUAUUGUCAGUUGCCAGCAUUCAGUUGGGCACUCUGGCGAGACUGCCGGUGACAAACCGGAGGAAGGUGGGGAUGACGUCAAAUCAUCAUGCCCCUUAUGACCUGGGCUACACACGUGCUACAAUGGACGGUACAACGAGUCGCGAAACCGCGAGGUCAAGCUAAUCUCUGAAAGCCGUUCUCAGUUCGGAUUGCAGGCUGCAACUCGCCUGCAUGAAGUGGAAUCGCUAGUAAUCGUGGAUCAGCAUGCCACGGUGAAUACGUUCCCGGGCCUUGUACACACCGCCCGUCACACC
rnacentral:rRNA from 1 species